CCGGAGGCCCUGACCUCCAGAGAGAACCAGGGGUCCGAGCACGUAGGGAGGGUUCUCCCCUCCUCACCGCUGAGUCUUCCAACCCCUACGGGCCCUAGUCGAGGAGUAGAUCACUCAUGAACCCAAGCCGAUAGAGUGACCAUCGGGGCUGUCGAGACGCCACUGAUCUUGGGUCCUUGGGCAAUCCUGACUGGGGAUUAGUCAGGCAAGAUCAUCCCGGAAGGAUGCCUCCCCUGCUCCUUUACCCCCUUUAUCUAGAAGAAGAGUAUUUUCCAGAUCCAGUCAGAAAUUUACAUAUUAAUCAAGACAAACAUGCAGUGAUUUAACCGGAAAACUGUUAUUUGGAUGACAAUUUAAUCAGCAUAGGUUGAGAGGUCCGUCGUUGCGGCAUCCUGUUUCUGGACUUCAUAUUUCUGCAGCAGAAGAGGACCACCCCAAGUAGAUAAUCUCGGCUACCUAUAAACUCGGCGGCACUGACAGUCGGCGAGAUAACAGAGGAAAGCAUUACGUCUUAUAGUUGCAACGAGAUACGACAAAUUCCGUGAGAUAUUUAUCCCGAGAUGUGAUGGAUGAGACGCCCGUUUCUUUGAUCGUUCAGCGUUCUGGAUUUGAGUGUUCCGCUUUUUUUUUUUCAGUUUUCUUCUAUCCCCCCUCACGUUUCCGCCGCCGGACAUUUAAGAAUCGGAGAGGGAGCAGCGAGUGAGAAAGCUGAUUUGGUUGUUUUUUAAGACGACCGGUUAAUAAAUUAAUUAUUGAUUUC